UUUAACAGUCAACAGCUAGCUCUGCAACUCUCACAUGGUCACCCGCUAAAGCUAAGCAGGGCUGUGCCUGGUUUGUACCUGGAUGGGAGGCCACAUGUAAAAGCUAGGUUGCUGCCAGAA
rnacentral:rRNA from 1 species